UCAGUAGAGGACAUUGGUAAGUACCCCAGAGCAUAGCUGUCCUAAAAUAUCACAUCUCUCUUUGCUUGAUCAACUCAUUACAUGGGCUGAUUAGCAGUGCACAAGGUAAUUUUCAUAAGAGGGUGAACUUACGGUAACUCUAAGGCUUACUGAUUGGGCAGAAGUUUGUGAGUGACAGGCUGGGGAGAAACGGCUUAGGAGUGAAGGUCUGAGGACCUUUAACACGGGGCUUUAGAUCACAGUCCCAUUUCCUUGUCCUUCCUCGGGUCUCCACCAAUCUUCUCUAUUUCUUCUGUCCCCACUUGGGUCAAGCCUCUUCGGGAAUUGGUUGGUGGUUCUCGGUCCCUCCUGGCUAUGUGGCUUUGGUCCCGGACUCCGUGUCAGUGACGAUCAGGUUUCCUCGGGCCUGAUUCCAACUGGACUUUAUUGUGCUAGCUGUUGUUAGUGCAAGCCGACACCUCGUGUUAAAUACACACAAUUUGUUCCUGGUUCACUUCACACAUGCUUUACUAAGGGAACUGGUGAGUGGCGAUUCCCAUCCAGGAAAGGCCUACGGUGAUGACGGCUUCUCACUGUCGACACGUGAGCUGGUGAUGAGAAGACUAGGCCCGCGUGGAGGUAGCCUGUCCAGCCCCUGUAAUCAGAGCGCCUCCACCUUCCUUUAAGUCCCAACCUGUCAUCCGCCUGGCAGUGUGUAGCCGGCUGGCUGGUGUUAACCCACUUCUCCUGUCUCUGUCUCAUUGUGCGAUUCUGCAUCAGCUCCUGGGUAACCUGCCAGGCCAGAAAUGAGGUGUCUGUGAGCACGCAUCCUCUCUGCACCCGAUGGCCAAGCACAUGUGACGCGGUAGGUUGAGUCUGAACCCAAUACUAUAAAAGCC
rnacentral:lncRNA from 1 species